AUGAGUUCCCGCGUCGCCGGAUCCGUCCUCCUCCGCCACCUGGGCCCGCGCGUCUUCGGGCCGACCACUCCUGCUGCGCAGAGGCCCCUGCUUGCCGGAGGAGAAGGGGGCGCCGUGGUCGUGUGGGCGCGGCCGCUGUCCACCUCCGCCGCAGAGGCGGCGAGGGAGGAGGCGGCCGCGUCCAAGGACAACGUGGCGAGCACCGCCGCCGCGACGGCCGAGGCGAUGCAGGCCGCGAAGGCCGCCAAGGAGGGGGGCAAGAGCCCAGUGAGCAGCUACUGGGGCAUCGUGCCUGCCAAGCUGGUGAACAAGGACGGCGCCGAGUGGAAGUGGUCUUGCUUCAGGCCGUGGGAGGCGUACACGUCGGACACGACGAUCGAUCUCACCAAGCACCACAAGCCCAAGGUGCUGCUCGACAAGAUCGCCUACUGGACCGUCAAGUCGCUGCGCGUGCCCACCGACAUCUUCUUCCAGAGGAGGUACGGGUGCCGGGCGAUGAUGCUGGAGACGGUGGCGGCGGUGCCGGGGAUGGUGGGCGGGAUGCUGCUCCACCUGCGGUCGCUGCGGCGGUUCGAGCAGAGCGGCGGGUGGAUCCGGGCGCUGCUGGAGGAGGCAGAGAACGAGCGGAUGCACCUGAUGACCUUCAUGGAGGUGGCCAAACCCAAGUGGUACGAGCGCGCGCUGGUGCUGGCGGUGCAGGGCGUCUUCUUCAACGCCUACUUCCUGGGCUACAUCGUGUCCCCCAAGUUUGCGCACCGCGUCGUCGGCUACCUCGAGGAGGAGGCCAUCCACUCCUACACCGAGUUCCUCCGCGACCUCGAGGCCGGCAGGAUCGAGAACGUCCCCGCCCCGCGCAUCGCCAUCGACUACUGGCGCCUCCCCGCCGACGCCAGGCUCAAGGACGUGGUCACCGUCGUGCGCGCCGACGAGGCGCACCACCGCGACGUCAACCACUUCGCCGCGGACAUCCAUUUCCAGGGGCUGGAGCUCAACAAGACGCCUGCCCCGCUAGGAUAUCACUGA
rnacentral:rRNA from 1 species